rnacentral:rRNA from 1 species
UACAGAGGGUGCGAGCGUUAAUCGGAAUUACUGGGCGUAAAGCGUGCGUAGACGGUUAUUUAAGUCGGGUGUGAAAUCCCCGGGCUCAACCUGGGAACUGCAUCCGGGACUGCAUUGCUAGAGUAUGGGAGAGGGAAGCGGAAUUUCUGGUGUAGCAGUGAAAUGCGUAGAUAUCAGAAGGAACAUCAGUGGUGAAGGCGGCUUCCUGGACCAAUACUGACGAUCAGGUGCGAAAGCGUGGGGAGCAAACAGG